CAGUAGCCGCGGUAAUACGGAGGAUCCAAGCGUUAUCCGGAUUUAUUGGGUUUAAAGGGUGCGUAGGUGGCCUGUUAAGUCAGGGGUGAAAGACGGUAGCUCAACUAUCGCAGUGCCCUUGAUACUGAUGGGCUUGAAUGAACUAGAGGUAGGCGGAAUGUGACAAGUAGCGGUGAAAUGCAUAGAUAUGUCACAGAACACCAAUUGCGAAGGCAGCUUACUAUGGUUUGAUUGACACUGAGGCACGAAAGCGUGGGGAUCAAACAGGAUUAGAUACCCGGGUAGUCCCUGUCUCUUAUAC
rnacentral:rRNA from 1 species